rnacentral:rRNA from 1 species
CCCUUAGAUGUCCUGGGCCGCACGCGCGCUACACUGAUGCAUGCAACGAGUUUCAUUUCUCCUGGGUCGAGAGGCCCGGGUAAUCUGUUGAACGUGCAUCGUGAUAGGGAUAGAUCAUUGCAAUUAUUGAUCUUGAACGAGGAAUUCCUAGUAAACGCGAGUCAUCAGCUUGCGUCGAUUACGUCCCUGCCCUUUGUACACACCGCCCGUCGCUCCUACCGAUUGGGUGUGCUGGUGAAAUGUUCGGAUCGGCCGUUUGUCGCGGUUUCCGCGUCAUGUGGCUGAGAAGUUCAUUAAACCCUCCCACCUAGAGGAAGGAGAAGUCGUAACA